rnacentral:rRNA from 1 species
CCUACGGGUGGCAGCAGUGAGGAAUAUUGGUCAAUGGGCGCGAGCCUGAACCAGCCAAGUAGCGUGAGGGAUGACUGCCCUACGGGUUGUAAACUUCUUUUAUAAAGGAAUAAAGUGAGGCACGUGUGCCUUUUUGUAUGUACUUUAUGAAUAAGGAUCGGCUAACUCCGUGCCAGCAGCCGCGGUAAUACGGAGGCUCCGAGCGUUAUCCGGAUUUAUUGGGUUUAAAGGGAGCGUAGAUGGGUUGUUAAGUCAGUUGUGAAAGUUUGCGGCUCAACCAUAAAAUUGCAAUGGAUACUGGCAGUCUAGAGUACAGUUGAGGUAGGCGGAAUGCGUGGGGUAGCGGUGAAAUGCUGAGAUAUCACGAAGAACUCCGAUUGCGAAGGCAGCUUACUAAACUGCCACUGACAUUGAUGCUCGAAAGUGUGGGUAUCAAACAGGAUUAGAUACCCCAGUAGUC